GCAAUGUUUCUUUUGAACAUUGGCAGUUUCUGUAAACCUGCGUCACAAACUGAGCCUAAGGCACUGAACCAUUGCGGAUCAGUUGCCUACAGUAUUUCCCUUAUGUGGUUUAAUUGUAUUUUUUAAUUCUGGUUCUUCACACGCGAACAUGAUGAACAGGGCAUAUUGUGGGAUAUGCUGCCAUAUGGCAACACCAUACAACAAUGGAAAUUGAAGAACUUGGAAAGAACCCAAGGAGCCAAUCAGAUGGCGAGCCUGUGUGGCUCUUAUCAUGGUCUUCUCUCAACCCAAGAGAUCUUGAGGUGACGAUGGAUAGAAUCAAUAGAGAAAAGCAUCUGCUCUACAUAAAGAGAAGGCAGUCUUUCCUGCCCAAGGCACCACAUUCCCACCCCUAGUCAAGAGAGAUCCUCAGUAUAAGGAGUUGAAGCCACAUCAGGGCUAGAAUUACAGCUAAUGAUGAGGUGAAACCACUGAUUAUGGCUACCUCUGCUAAGCCAGGGCUCUGACCAAAAGGGGCCUAAUUGAUUGGAAUAAACUGAUUGGCAGACCCUUUUAAUCAAUCCCCUCAGUUAUCUGACAGCGACAGGCGAAGAUUAGCUUUCUUCAAUAGUCAGAAAAAAAGGGGAGGUUACCUGACAGAAUGGAGAAAAGUAGAGAGGAGAGGCUUGGUAUAGCUGAAAAGUGCGGGCCAUGAAACAAAAGGGAGCAAAAGUGGACUGCACCCCUCCCUCUGUUCCACCACCUGUUUGCUUUGUUUGUAUUUUGAAACAGCAUGCAAGGUGAAAUCUACGUUGGUUAAGAUGUGUAAACUUCACAUAUUAAAA